rnacentral:rRNA from 1 species
AACAAACGCUGGCGGCGUGCCUAAUACAUGCAAGUCGAACGGGGAAAGCUUUCGGGUGAGUACCAGUGGCGCACGGGUGAGUAACGCGUGGAUAAUCUGCCUUAGAGUGGGGGAUAACUAGUCGAAAGAUUAGCUAAUACCGCAUAAGACCACAAGAACUGCGGUUCAAGGGGUCAAAGGUUUUUCGCUCUAAGAUGAGUCCGCGUAAGAUUAGCUAGUUGGUAGGGUAACGGCCUACCAAGGCGACGAUCUUUAACUGGUCUGAGAGGAUGAUCAGUCACACUGGAACUGGGACACGGUCCAGACUCCUACGGGAGGCAGCAGUAGGGAAUAUUGCUCAAUGGAGGAAACUCUGAUGCAGCGACGCCGCGUGAGUGAUGAAGGCCUUCGGGUCGUAAAGCUCUGUCGCAGGGGAAUAACACAAUGAAGGUACCCUGUAAGAAAGGAUCGGCUAACUUCGUGCCAGCAGCCGCCGUAACAC